AACGAACGCUGGCGGCAGGCUUAACACAUGCAAGUCGAGCGCCCCGCAAGGGGAGCGGCAGACGGGUGAGUAACGCGUGGGAAUCUACCCAUCCCUACGGAAUAGCUCCGGGAAACUGGAAUUAAUACCGUAUACGCCCUACGGGGGAAAGAUUUAUCGGGGAUGGAUGAGCCCGCGUUGGAUUAGCUAGUUGGUGGGGUAAAAGCCUACCAAGGCGACGAUCCAUAGCUGGUCUGAGAGGAUGAUCAGCCACAUUGGGACUGAGACACGGCCCAAACUCCUACGGGAGGCGGCAGUGGGGAAUAUUGGACAAUGGGGGCAACCCUGAUCCAGCCAUGCCGCGUGAGUGAUGAAGGCCUUAGGGUUGUAAAGCUCUUUCACCGGGGAAGAUAAUGACGGUACCCGGAGAAGAAGCCCCGGCUAACUUCGUGCCAGCAGCCGCCGUAAAAC
rnacentral:rRNA from 1 species